GAUGAACGCUGGCGGCGUGCCUAAUACAUGCAAGUCGAGCGAACAGACGAGGAGCUUGCUCCUCUGACGUUAGCGGCGGACGGGUGAGUAACACGUGGAUAACCUACCUAUAAGACUGGGAUAACUUCGGGAAACCGGAGCUAAUACCGGAUAAUAUAUUGAACCGCAUGGUUCAAUAGUGAAAGACGGUUUUGCUGUCACUUAUAGAUGGAUCCGCGCCGCAUUAGCUAGUUGGUAAGGUAACGGCUUACCAAGGCAACGAUGCGUAGCCGACCUGAGAGGGUGAUCGGCCACCCUGGAACUGAGACGCGGUCCAGGCGCCUACGGGAGGCAGCAGUAGGGAAUCGUCCGCAAUGGGCGAAAGCCUGACGGAGCAACGCCGCGUGAGUGAUGAAGGUCUUCGGAUCGUAAAGCUCUGUUAUUAGGGAAGAACAAAUGUGUAAGUAACUAUGCACGUCUUGACGGUACCUAAUCAGAAAGCCACGGCUAACUACGUG
rnacentral:rRNA from 1 species